AUGGGCUCCCGCCGUGGUGACAAGCCACCCAUGUCGCCUCCGAUUCCGGCGGCGGAACGCCAGCGCGAGAAGGAUCUGCGGGCGAAGGCGCUCGCCAAGGUGCCUGCGACCCCUGCGGAGGACGGGGGCUGGGGGCCGCCGCCUCCAUGGUGGCUCGCUGAGCAGGAACGGAAGAAGCAAGAGGAGCGCGAGCGCAAGAAGAAGAAGAAGGAGGAGUACCGGCAGCGGGGGCUCGAGCAGAAGAAGGAGCUCAAGCGGAAGGAGUCCCAGCUCCCUCCGGGCGGUGAGCGGGGUGGGGACCCGCAGGCCAAGAAGCCGAAGCACAAGGGGGCCGGCUCGGCGCUGCUGCUGCUGGCGGCUGGCCCCGAGGCUUCUAGGGGGUCGGCUGACGCCCCGAUCCCCAUGGAAGAGGCCGACGGGCCGGAGUGUUUCAAAUGCGGCAGGGUGGGGCACUAUCAAAACAUGUGCUCCUUCAAACCCCUGUGCGUCGUCUACCAUGAGGAGGGCCAUGCGUCGGCUUACUGUCCCACGCGGGGGAGGCCCCUGGCGCUGCAGAUCAUGGGCAACGCGAUCCCUGGUGAGGGAUUCUUCUGCCUCCCAUUCGUGGACACGGAGGGUGAGGAGGUCCACGCUCCUCUCGUGUCGGACACGGCGAUCAUUUCGGCAGCGAACGGCAAGUUGUCAAUCCUCAUCUUGGAGGCGGAACUCCCCCACCUCUUCGAAGGGGAGUGGGACUGGCAGGUGUCGGCCGUCGGAGUCGAUCAGUUCUCGGUCGUCUUCCCCGACAAGGCCAUGCUGCGGAUGGCGACCCGCAGCGGCAAGCUCUACUUCUCCCUCCACGACAUCAUGGCGGACAUCAAGGAGGCUCGCCCGGAGGAGCCCAAGGCCGAGCUCAUGCCGGACACUUGGGUCAAGCUGUGGGGUGUGCCGCCCAAGCACCGUCACGUGGAUCGCCUCAUGGCCGCCACGGUGAUGAUUGGGCGUCCUAUGGAGGUGGAUACGGGUCGCUGUCAGGCCUGGGACCGGUGCGGAUGCGUUUUGCGUGCCGUGCCCCGGCCAAGCUCAAGGGAUACGUGCAGGUUUGGUUCAACAGUGAGGGAUUCACCUUCCGCCUGGAGGCCGAGACGGGUGCUCUGCAGGGUGCGACUCCCACUCCCCCUCCCCCUCCCAAGGGCCAGGAAGACAAGGACAAGGACAAGGACAAGGACCACGACAUGA
rnacentral:rRNA from 1 species